rnacentral:lncRNA from 1 species
AGACAUCUUCGACGUGGAGUGUUUGGACUGAGACUAGUAAUCUACAGAAUGCAAUGCUCAUGCUCGUCUACAAUGGGGACCGAGAUUCAUUCAUUUGCUGUGGAUGAAUCACCGGUGAACAAUACGGUGACUAACCCUUUUCUCUAGACCGUUGGAUCAAAGAUCAACUGACGGGUCCGCCUGAACUAAACCCAAGAUAUAGCAACUCCGUCUACAGGACUAUGUAUACAGUACUUGGUCUACAGUGUUCGUCUACAGUGUCAACCACAAUGUUUUUGUACUGUUUUAAAUUUGGGUUGCAUACCCUUCAUCCAACGGCUAGCUGCCCGUCAGUCACGGCGUGAUUGGCCAGAGGCUAGUCAUUGGGUCUCUGUCCCUACAAUGGUGGAGUUAUU